UACGGAGGGUGCAAGCGUUGUCCGGAUUUAUUGGGCUUAAAGGGUGCGUAGGCGGCUUAUUAAGUCAGGGGUGAAAGACUGCAGCUCAACUGUAGCAGUGCCUUUGAUACUGAUGAGCUUGAGUACAGAUGAGGCUGGCGGAAUGGGUGGUGUAGCGGUGAAAUGCAUAGAUACCAUCCAGAACACCGAUUGCGAAGGCAGCCGGCUGAGCUGUAACUGACGCUGAGGCACGAAAGCGUGGGGAUCGAACAGG
rnacentral:rRNA from 1 species